CUGUUGCACCCUCCGCCUAUAAAAAGGGGGACCCCAGAUACGUUACUCUCUAAGCUCUAAUUUCUAUCUUAAAACUCUGCUAAAAUUUUCGUUCGAGCACUCCAUUCUUGUUAAGGCAGAGAACUGACUUGAGCAUCGAAGAAUCUUACCGGAGCACCCCCAACUCCAGUUUAGACUUCCUUUGCAGGUCCCGACAGUGACCGCGACUCUCUCGACUCCAGCUUCUCUGACGCCGGC
rnacentral:lncRNA from 1 species